AGAGUUUGCUCCUGGCUCUGGACGAACGCUGGCGGCGCGCCUAACACAUGCAAGUCGAACGAGAGAGAGGGAGCUUGCUCCCUCAAUCGAGUGGCGAACGGGUGAGUAACGCGUGAGGAACCUGCCUCAAAGAGGGGGACAACAGUUGGAAACGACUGCUAAUACCGCAUAAGCCCACAGCUCGGCAUCGAGCAGAGGGAAAAGGAGCAAUCCGCUUUGAGAUGGCCUCGCGUCCGAUUAGCUAGUUGGUGAGGUAACGGCCCACCAAGGCAACGAUCGGUAGCCGGACUGAGAGGUUGAACGGCCACAUUGGGACUGAGACACGGCCCAGACUCCUACGGGAGGCAGCAGUGGGGAAUAUUGCACAAUGGGGGAAACCCUGAUGCAGCGACGCCGCGUGGAGGAAGAAGGUCUUCGGAUUGUAAACUCCUGUUGUUGAGGAAGAUAAUGACGGUACUCAACAAGGAAGUGACGGCUAACUACGUGCCAGCAGCCGCGGUAAAACGUAGGUCACAAGCGUUGUCCGGAAUUACUGGGUGUAAAGGGAGCGCAGGCGGGAAGACAAGUUGGAAGUGAAAUCUAUGGGCUCAACCCAUAACUGCUUUCAAAACUGUUUUUCUUGAGUAGUGCAGAGUAGGCGGAAAUCCCCGGUGUAGCGGUGGAAUGCGUAGAUAUCGGGAGGAGCACCAGUGGCGAAGGCGGCCUACUGGGCACCAACUGACGCUGAGGCUCGAAAGUGUGGGUAGCANACAGGAUUAGAUACCCUGGUAGUCCACACCGUAAACGAUGAUUACUAGGUGUUGGAGGAUUGACCCCUUCAGUGCCGCAGUUAAUACAAUAAGUAAUCCACCUGGGGAGUACGACCGCAAGGUUGAAACUCAAAGGAAUUGACGGGGGCCCGCACAAGCAGUGGAGUAUGUGGUUUAAUUCGACGCAACGCGAAGAACCUUACCAAGUCUUGACAUCCCUUGACGAACAUAGAAAUAUGUUUUCUCUUCGGAGCAAGGAGACAGGUGGUGCAUGGUUGUCGUCAGCUCGUGUCGUGAGAUGUUGGGUUAAGUCCCGCAACGAGCGCAACCCUUACUGUCAGUUACUACGCAAGAGGACUCUGGCAGGACUGCCGUUGACAAAACGGAGGAAGGUGGGGAUGACGUCAAAUCAUCAUGCCCUUUAUGACUUGGGCUACACACGUACUACAAUGGCGUUAAACAAAGAGAAGCAAGACCGCGAGGUGGAGCAAAACUCAGAAACAACGUCCCAGUUCGGACUGCAGGCUGCAACUCGCCUGCACGAAGUCGGAAUUGCUAGUAAUCGUGGAUCAGCAUGCCACGGUGAAUACGUUCCCGGGCCUUGUACACACCGCCCGUC
rnacentral:rRNA from 1 species